rnacentral:rRNA from 1 species
GACGAACGCUGGCGGCGUGCUUAACACAUGCAAGUCGAACGGAAAGGCCCUGCUUUUGUGGGGUGCUCGAGUGGCGAACGGGUGAGUAACACGUGAGUAACCUGCCCUUGACUUUGGGAUAACUUCAGGAAACUGGGGCUAAUACCGGAUAGGAGCUCCUGCUGCAUGGGGGGGGUUGGAAAGUUUCGGCGGUUGGGGAUGGACUCGGGGCUUAUCAGCUUGUUGGGGGGGUAGUGGCUUACCAAGGGUUUGCUGGGUAGCCGGCCUGAGAGGGUGACCGGCCACAUGGGAACUGGGACACGGGCGAGACUCCUAAGGGAGGCACCAGUGGGGAAUAUUGGACAAUGGGCGGAAGCCUGAUCCAGCCAUGCCGCGUGUGUGAAGACGGUCUUCGGAUUGUAGAGAACUUUAAGGUGGGGGGAAGGGAAGUAAGUUAAUACCUUGCUGUUUUGACGUUACCAAAAGAAUAAGCACCGGCUAACUUCGUG